ensembl:lncRNA
AGCCAACCCUGUUGUGGGGAAUCAGAGAAGGUAUCUCAAAUGGGAAGUCCAAUCUGGGUGCUUAGAGAUGUGUAAGAGUGAGCCAGGCGAAAGGAGGUGAACGUUCUCAGCUUCUCCUGAUUUGUUAACUUGGAAGUCAUAUUCUUUGUCUACCCCAAAGGACUACAGGGCCAAUGAGAACAGAAACUGCUUUCGUUCUGCCCCAACACACAACAGAAACAGAAGAACUGAAACCUCAGCUGAGGCUUCUGCUCUCGCAUUUCAGUAUCUCUUAUGACGUGGAAGAGCUGAGCGAUGCUUCUAAGGAGACAGAACUUUUUGCCUUGGUUUCCCCAAAAUUUCAAAGCAUCUUCAUGGAACAACAGAGAAUGCAAACGUUUCCAGACUAUAAUGCUGGGAUAGCUAAAGUGGAAAAUUUGAAUUUGGCAGGACCUCGUAGGGCCUUGAAAAAGGGAGCCAACUGGACUUCCUUUAUAAAGAUUAAGCCAAAAUGUGAUCCUUGGCAAAAGAAGCUUUUGACCAAACUAAAAGAACGGAGAAGAAUAGAUGUAUUAAUGCAACUCCAAGCAAAGUUUUUGAAGAUUUCCAAUCCUGAGCGAGUAAUGCAAGUGCUCCAGGAUCAUGCUGCAAAGACAGUCUUGCUGGCUUCAUCUCAUCCAACAUGUGUGGCUUCCCAGGGCAACUAUGACCAAAUCUGGGAGACUAUUUAUAGCAACAUCAACCUCUACCAGAGGGAAGAAGAGGAUAGCCAUUUUCCCCUAUCUCUGUUCUUGUUCCCCUCCAUCUCCAGCGAUAAUGUUUUUCCAGGAGAAAAUGAGAUUUGCAAUCAGAAUAAAUAUCAGAACUGUCAAAAUACAUGAACUCAGCCAUUCUGGUGAAGAUCCAGACACAAGAAUGAAAACACUAAGGAAGAUGACCUUUCAGUGCAACGAGAUGAAAAUGACCCAGCACUAAUAAAUCUUAGCCAGUGUGCUAAUAAGCCUGUGAAGCAGAAGAAAGAGACAGGUUACAGUUAUGCAGUGGCCCUACAGCUGCUGGGCUUGGAUGACGGGACUGGGCCCAGUAACAGGGAUCCUGUCCUGAUGAGGGGGACCUACUUGUCCUUUCUGUAUCUGCGUCACCUGAGGAUCCGGGAGCUGCAGCGCAUCUGCUUAGGAAUUCUGAACUAUUUUAGAUCUGUUGAGCGAACACUGACGAUCAACACUUCAGGCCUUACCUUGGUUUCAGGGAGCCUGGUCCCUACCUCAGAAGACAGUUCCUGGGUAAAUAAAGCAAAAGGAGGCAUGGGCACCUCGCAAGGCCUAGGCGCUCACCACUAUGCCCACGGGACACCUGCCGAGCACAGGGUCCAGAGCAUCCAAUUCAUGGAGUUCUCAGAAGUGGAGAACCAGGAUGACUACUACAGUAUGGAUGCUGGUUACAUCCACACCCAGGACCAGCAAGGAGUGUAUGUCAUG